GCACUGGCGUAUAUCUAUACAUGCAGUCGAGCGAAUGGAUUGAGAGCUUGCUCUCAUGAAGUUAGCGGCGGACGGGUGAGUAACACGUGGGUAACCUGCCCAUAAGACUGGGAUAACUCCGGGAAACCGGGGCUAAUACCGGAUAACAUUUUGAACUGCAUGGUUCGAAAUUGAAAGGCGGCUUCGGCUGUCACUUAUGGAUGGACCCGCGUCGCAUUAGCUAGUUGGUGAGGUAACGGCUCACCAAGGCAACGAUGCGUAGCCGACCUGAGAGGGUGAUCGGCCACACUGGGACUGAGACACGGCCCAGACUCCUACGGGAGGCAGCAGUAGGGAAUCUUCAGCAUAAUCGGAGGAGAUUAUCCCGGAAGUACCCGCCGCGUUGAGCUGAAUGAACGUCUGCGGGUCGUAACGCUCGUGUUGUUACGGGAAAGAAACAAGUGCUAGUUGAAUAAGGCUGGCACCAUGACUAGUUACCAUACCCAGAAAGGCCACCGGCUAAUUCACGAUGACCAGCAGCGGCGGUUAUACGUAGCUGACCAGCGUUAUACUGAAUUAUUGGGCGUAAAGCGGCGUGUCAGGUGCUUAAUGAAGGUCUGAUGUGAAAGCCCACGGGCUUCAACCGUAGGAGCGUCAUUUGGAACCUGGGAGACUCGAGUGCAGAAGAGGAAAGUGGAAGUUCCAUGUGUAGCGGUGAUAUGCGUAGAGAUAUGGAGGAACACCAGUGGCGAUGGCGACUUUCUGGUCUGUAACUGACACUGAUGCGCGAAAGCGUGGGGAGCAAACAGGAUUAUAUACCCUGGUAGUGCACGCCGUAAACGAUGAGUUGCUAAGUGUUAGAGGGUUUCCGACCCUUUAGUGCUGUAAUUUACCGCAUUAAGCACUCCGCCUUGGGGAGUACGGCCGCUAAGGCUGAAACCUCAAAGGAGAUUGACUGGGGGGCCGCACCAAGCGGUGGCAGCAUGUGGUUUAAGUUCGUAAUCAACGCGAAAAAACUUAGCAAAGUCUUGACAUCUCCUGAAAACCCUAGAAAUAGGGCGUCUUCGUCGUUCGCAUACUGACAGGUGGUGCAUGGUUGUCGUCAGCUCUUGUCAUCUUAUUGUUUGAGAUAUGUCCCUCAAUCAGCGGACAACCGCCUUCAUCUAAGUUGGCAUCAAUAAGUUAGGUACGCCUUAAGAGGACUGCCCCUCAGAAAACGGAGGGAGAUGGGGGGAAGCCGUCAAAUUCUCAUGCCCCUUUUGACCUGGGCUACACACGUGCUACAAUGGACGGUACAAAGAGCUGCAAGACCGCGAGGUGGAGCUAAUCUCAUAAAACCGUUCUCAGUUCGGAUUGUAGGCUGCAACUCGCCUACAUGAAGCUGGAAUCGCUAGUAAUCGCGGAUCAGCAUGCCGCGGUGAAUACGUUCCCGGGCCUUGUACACACCGCCCGUCACACCACGAGAGUUUGUAACACCCGAAGUCGGUGGGGUAACCUUUUUGGAGCCAGCCGCCUAAGGUGGCACAGAUGAUUGGGGCAAGUCGAACAAUGAGAUCC
rnacentral:rRNA from 1 species